rnacentral:rRNA from 1 species
CAGCAGCCGCGGUAAUACCGGCGGCCCGAGUGGCGGUCACUAUUAUUGGGCUUAAAGCGUCCGUAGCCGGGUUGGGAAGUCCUCCGGGAAAUCUGGCCGCUUAACGGUCAGAAUGCCGGAGGAUACUCCCAGCCUAGGGAGCGGGAGAGGCCGAGGGGAUUCCCGGGGUAGGGGUGAAAUCCUAUAAUCCCGGGAGGCCCACCGGUGGCGAAGGCGCUCGGCUGGAACGCGUCCGACGGUGAGGGACGAAGGCCAGGGGAGCAAACCGGAUUAGAUACCCGGGUAGUCCUGGCUGUAAACGAUGCGGACUUUGUGUCGGACAAGCUAUGAGCUUGUCCGGUGCCGGAGGGAAACCGUUAAGUCCGCCGCCUGGGGAGUACGGCCGCAAGGUUGAAACUUAAAGGAAUUGGCGGG